UACGAAGGGGGUUAGCGUUGCUCGGAAUUACUGGGCGUAAAGGGAGCGUAGGCGGGUUAUCAAGUUGGAGGUGAAAGCCCAGGGCUCAACCUUGGAAUUGCCUUCAAAACUGAUAACCUAGAGGAUGAUAGAGGUAAGUGGAACUCCGAGUGUAGAGGUGAAAUUCGUAGAUAUUCGGAAGAACACCAGUGGCGGAGGCGACUUACUGGAUCAUUACUGACGCUGAGGCUCGAAAGCGUGGGGAGCAAACAGG
rnacentral:rRNA from 1 species